rnacentral:rRNA from 1 species
UACGUAGGGCGCAAGCGUUAUCCGGAAUUACUGGGCGUAAAGGGUGCGUAGGCGGUCUUUCAAGCCAGAAGUGAAAGGCUACGGCUCAACCGUAGUAAGCUUUUGGAACUGUAAGACUUGAGUGCAGGAGAGGAGAGUGGAAUUCCUAGUGUAGCGGUGAAAUGCGUAGAUAUUAGGAGGAACACCAGUAGCGAAGGCGGCUCUCUGGACUGUAACUGACGCUGAGGCACGAAAGCGUGGGGAGCAAACAGGAUUAGAUACCCGCGUAGU